rnacentral:rRNA from 1 species
GUGAAUGUGUGGCCAGGAGCCGGGGUGUGAGAGGUGGUGGAAAGGUGGUGUGGGAUGACUGGGCGGACAGCGGGUGUGGGCUGCUCGGAAAGUCGGAUUGGAAAUCCCUUGUCUCAACCUAGGAAGUGCAUUCGAAACUUCUGGGCGUGAUUGCUGGAGAGGAAGGCGGAAUGCUCGGUGUAGAGGUUAAAUUCGUAGAUAGCGAGGGGAACACCGGUGGCGAAGGCGGCCUGCUGGACAGCAACUGACGCUGAGACGCGAAAGCGUGGGGAGCAAACAGGAUUAGAUACCCCUGUAGUC